GUUCAAGGGAUACAUUCGUUCAUUGCUGUUCAAUCACUAGUUGAAAAAAGAAAACCAAAAUUACACCCCUAGAUAACACAGCGGACUCUUUCAGUUGAAGAGGGAAAAUCUACUUAUGGCAAUGUCACGUUGUGGACUGAGCAUCAAGAGAUUAAAUACAAUGAACGCAUCCCUGCUUUCAAAAGAGUUGGCAUUCUCGUGCGAAGGUCAGAUAUGGCAAAAAUCAAGCGAAAGAGGCAAAUUAAAAUCCGUGCCACUGCUAAUUUAACUUCCAACUGUUGGAAAUUCUUUAUGGCGUGCAAUUGUCAAUACUGGGCCUGUAUUUUGCUGUAUACGUGGUUGCAUUUAGGGGUGUACAAAAAGUCCGUAACCGCGGAUUUUAUCCGUAUACGUCCGUAAAAUUACGGGUGAAACCCAAUCCGCAAGAUUUAUGGGCCGGUUACGGGUGGGAUUCUUAAACUAUGAAUUACUGGCUAGUCCAGGAAUGAGGGAAUCGGUUACUGGCUAGUCCACUCCCAGAAUUGAUUUAUCCUCUGGUCCAAAAACAUGUUUUUGGACCAGAAACUUUAUCCCCUAGUCCAUCCACGUGCGGUUUACACAAGACAAGUUUUCAAAUAUUCCCAACAUAUCCUUCUGCAACUCAAAGUGACGAACAUAAAACCAAGUCAGUUUCUUUCCUCUUUUUUUCUUCUCAGAUCAGUUUCUCUCACUCUGCGUUUUGGAUAGAAUCAAUUUCUGGUACUGUUUUUCAAUCAUCUUCAUCUGAGCUUCGAAUUAGGUUCUUCUGAGUUUCGAAUUAGGUCAUCUGAGCUUCGAACCAAGGUAUUUGAGCUUCGAAUUAGGUUUAUCUCAGAUUCGAACAAGGGUUAACAUGUCUGACGUUGCUCCCA